rnacentral:lncRNA from 1 species
ACAGUCGGCUUUCUAUCCCAUAUUGCCAAGAGCUCUGAGAAUGAUGAACCAAGUAAAUGCUUUAUUUAGGGCUAAGUGAGCUGCGGAUCCCUCCAGCCUGACAGCGUUUCAGCCUGCAGAGUAAGACAGCAGCAGCAAUAGAAGCAGCAGAGGCAGCAGCAACAGCAGCAGCCCCUUGCUCAAGUCCAGCAGGGGAGACUUGAUCUCUGGUUAGUCUUGGAACUCUGCCUGUGGAUCGUGCACUGUCCAGGGUCCUGAAACAUGAACCAAACAGCCAGCGUGUCCCAUCACAUCAAGUGUCAGCCCUCUAAGACCAUCAAGAGUUAAAGACAGAGAUGAAACCACUGUAGCCCAUUUUGACACUUGGGAUACUUUAAAUCAGAAUUAGGGCCGCUGAAGAGAUUUUAGACAGAAAUACUGUACUUUCUAACAUGAAUAUCGCAAAGUCACCUCCAGUGUAGAUCUCCCUUCUCUCGCCUCAGUCCAGCUGUGUUGACAGAGAUACACCUGUCAAAGCCCUUGAAAGGGUCAACACCCAGACCAGUGGUGUCUCAAAGUUUCGGAGUUUGUGAGAAUACAUAAAACUUAUGGGAAUAUUUUAUGUAUCUAUUUUAUGUUCUUAAACAAACUGGUAUGUUUUAUUCUCUGAAAGUUCCAGGCAUUAAUAAAAUGCACAUUAAACAUAUCGAUCCACCCUAACUUCCUCUCACACCACCCAAGUUGUCCUAUCCAUCCACCUUUGAGCUUCAUGUCCUUUUAUUUGUUUAUUUUUGGUAUUAAUACCCCUGAGUUCAGUGAGAGCUGCACAUAUACAUGCCGCUGUGUGGCCAAGCACUGGUGCAUGAGAAACUUACUAACAAAGGAGAGUGACAUUUCCUUCCUUAGCAGCUCUCUCUAUAGGAGUGGUGCCUCAGAGGUGCCUGCACAUCCGAGCUGAAAUUUUAUUGACUAUAUUUUGUGCAGGCAGCCACGCCUGCUGUGAGUUGACACUUGCCACAGUCAGGCCAUGGCCAGAAGUCUCUAUUUCACAGCUCUUCUUUCUAUAUGCCAGCUCCUACACUCUCUCCAGUCCCUCAUGUGUGAGCUUUCCUGAGCCCAGAAUGGUAGGAGGUUAAUGUAGAUGGUCCAUGCAUAGCUCAGCUCUCUGAGUUGUAUAGGAUUGUCACUUGGAGCAGGAUGAGUUUCUUAAUUAACGAUUUGCCCACUGCAAAAAUAAAACAAAUAAAAAUUAAUUUUAGACCAAAGCUAAGUGCAACAAAAGUCUCCUCGGCUCCCCAGGUAACAAAGCCCGGGUUUUCGAGUUUGUGUGCUGUGUGACCUGCUAAGCUCUGACUGUCUUCCUGGGUGGACAACAUUUACUUGGAUGAGCACAUUUUAAUAAACGAUUGUAAAGCAAAAACCCCUUUUAAGCCAAGAAUUAUAACUCUUCAGGAAUU